rnacentral:rRNA from 1 species
UACGUAGGACGCAGGCGUUGUCCGGAAUCACUGGGUGUAAAGGGUGCGUAGGCGGGAAGGUAAGUCAGUGGUGAAAUCUCACGGCUCAACCGUGAAACUGCCGUUGAUACUGCUUUUCUUGAGUUUGGGAGAGGUCGAUGGAAUUCCAGGUGUAGCGGUGAAAUGCGUAGAUAUCUGGAAGAACACCAGUGGCGAAGGCGGUCGACUGGCCCAUAACUGACGCUGAGGCACGAAAGCGUGGGGAGCGAACAGG